CAAACAGAACUGAUUGUCACGUGAUAGUAAAUAUGGUGGACGUAGAAAGAAUUGUUUUUCUGCGCAGAAAGUAGCCAUCUGCAACAUAUUUAAGUCUUUCAACCAGUGAGACAUUUGCCUUUAAAUAUCAAACCACUAUAAUCUGCCUAAAAGAAAUUCUAGCGUGUUAUUUUUUCGUGAAUAUUCAGCUAGAAUAUAACAUCGCAAAAAAUCAACAAGAAACACGAGAACAAUUAGCAACUACGCCUAUAAGGCAAGAAAAAUGACCAACCUAUAUAAGCUAUUGGUUGUAUGUGUAUUGUUCGAAAUAGUAUCAACUCAAUGUAAUAAAGUCGGGGUAUAUAAUUUCAACGAUGGUACAACUCUAUAUUUGAAGUCUAAUAAAUGGGAAACGAGAUGUGCAGAAGGAUAUACAGAGGAUUUAACAGCUACAACUAUAAAUUGGUGUGGCAAGAGCCAUCAAGUUCGCCUUUGCCAUGCAUGGAGACGAACAUUUGAAUGCGAAACUCUUCCCGAAGUUGAAAAUGGAAACUGGGAAUUCAGUUGUACUCAAGAAAAUGGUGAACUUAAAUGCUUACGUCAGCCAAAUAGUAUUGGCAGUCAAGUUACCUAUGAAUGUGAUCCAGGUUAUGAAUUAAAUGGUAAUAUUAAUCUUAAAUGCACAUCUUCGGGUUGGAGUAGUGUGCCUCCUACAUGUCAGAAACGAGUCUCCACACCGUCGGCAGGAAUACCGGAAACUUUCACUGGACAAUCAUUAACUAUAAUCGUAUCCGUGGCUUUUGGAUUACUAACUGUUUUAGUGGCAAUCAUAUUAGGCGUUUUCUUCAAAUAUCACAAGCAGUGCGGACCUACUGAGGGUACGAUUCCAUCUGAACCACCUACACCUUCCAAUCCUUAUUCAAAUGGACUACCUUACGAAACUGAUUUGGAUAGAUUGGCGUUGAUGGCUUUUGCCGAUAUCCCUUCAGUCCACGGCAGACAGCCCCCUACUUAUGAAGAAGCGGUUUCUAAUCGCUUGUCCAACAAUCGUAAUCGCCAAAUUACAAACAUUCGCAGAGAUCGACCAAACUUAUUGAGAGAUAAUACAUCUAUAGCUAGCGGUGAAACUGUUAAUGUGAGUGAUGCAACAUCAACAACAGUGACUGUAGACACUGUUGAAACGCGGUCAUCGAAUCCAUCUCUCUCUCAAAGGGUUGCUGUUGGCUCGCUGUGCUCAAUAUCUCCCGAACCGAGUAUCGCCCCAAGUAUAGGAGAUGCCCUUGUCGAGGAAGGACUUCAAGUAAGAUCCAACUCGCCAUGUAGUCUAAUAAGCAAAGACAGUCGUGAGCAUCCUAAAUUCAACGUAUAGAAAAUUCUUAAGACUAAAAAACUAUUUCAUUAUUCUGUUUAAAUCCUCCAACAUAUAUGAGUUGGAAUUGAUUUACCUGCAGAACAAAAAGAUAUAAAAGUUUUCUUUUUUGUAAGGGCACUGUUUAGUAGAUUAUUAUAGUGAAUGAAGAAAGAAUUGUAAUUUCUGAAAGAGAGUUACACCUUUAUUAAGUAUGUAUUGUGAAGUUUUUUUAUGUUUAUUUGUUAAAGAGUUCAGAAAUCAAUGUAGUUUUGUUUCUUGUCCUAAA
rnacentral:misc_RNA from 1 species